CACACCGGGUGGCCCUGGACACAUUAUUCCGCACCAGAGGACAGCAGCGUUGUUAAGGGUUUCAAGAAAUGGCAGGUUGAGAUUAAGACAGCUACUGCUGAUAAUGGUCCAAGAGGUCACUGCAUAUUUACAUCUGAAAGUGUAAUUACAGAGGUGAUCCUGAAGUCCUUAACUGCCCCGUAAGUUACCUGAAAGCCUGCUGUCCUCCCAGGACCUGUCCAAGCUGCACCUGAGGGAGAGAAGCCCACCUGCUCCAGCUCUUCCAGAGUAACAGCACUGACACAGGUGUUCCGUUAAAACCAGCAACCAACCCAGGAAGAUUGGAAUGGACUUGGUGGAGCAGGUUCCUGACUGGUCAGAGCAGAAGAAUACGUAUACAAUGAGAAAUACGCUUCUCUCUUAAAGUUAUUUAAACAACUGUUAAUCUUCCACUCAGUAGCUUCUAUGAUGUAGGAGCUGGGAGAGGGACCAGAACUCCAAUAGUAACACGACAGGACCCUAAAGAGUUUUGGAGCUCCUGGUCACAGUCCACAGUGGAGACAACACAGAACAGCUAUGACACAUUGGACCCUACACUUAACGCCCAGCGUCUUCUAAGAAGAGGAAACAGGGAGGAACCUACAGAAGGUGACCAAGGCAGAGGCUGGAGUGGUGCUGCCACAAGCCAAGGGUACCAGGAGUCACCGGGAGCUGGAAAAGGCACAGGCGGGUCUUCCCCAGGCUUUGUUGGGAGGGCCGCCUUGCUGACACUUUCCUUUCCCACUUCCUGUUUCCGCUCUGUGAGAGGAAGUUUCUGUGUCCCAAGCCUCCACGUGUCUGGUAAUUUGUCUCAGCAGUGCUAGGAAAGUCUCUCAGCCUAUCCUGGAACUGAGGCUACUAGCACGAAUAUCAGGGAACACUUGUCUUAAGUUCAAAGAGUGAUGAUACAAAAAAAAUGGGCAGCCUUAUA